rnacentral:rRNA from 1 species
UACGGGGGGAGCAAGCGUUGUUCGGAUUUACUGGGCGUAAAGGGCGCGUAGGCGGUCAGCACAAGUCGGUUGUGAAAUCUCCGAGCUUAACUCGGAAAGGUCAACCGAAACUGUGCGACUAGAGUGCAGAAGGGGCAACUGGAAUUCUUGGUGUAGCGGUGAAAUGCGUAGAUAUCAAGAGGAACACCUGCGGCGAAGGCGGGUUGCUGGGCUGACACUGACGCUGAAGCGCGAAAGCCAGGGGAGCAAACAGG